AAGUCAAAGAAAGUUAAUUGAUGCUCGAAGGAAGGAAGGAAGGAAGGAAGGAAGGAAGGAAGGAAGGAAGUCAAAGAAAGUUAACUGACGCUGGAAAGAAAAAGGAAGGAAGGAAGGAAGGGAGUCAAAGAAAGUUAACUGGAUUAUUGGUCUAGGGGUGCAUCUACAGUAUCGAAAUAAUGCAGUUUGACCCCACGUUAAAUGCUGAAGCUCUGUCCUAUGAAAUCCUGGGAUUUGUAGUUUCACAAGCUAUUUAGCCCUCUCUGCCAAAGAGUUGUUGGUGUCCCAUAAAACGACAAAUCCCAGAAUUCUGUAGGGUGGAGCCACAGCAGUUAAAGUCGUGUCCAAUUGCUUUAUUCCUACAGCGUACAGGUCUCCAUGCUGGAAUUCCCACUUGGCUGCAGAAACUCUUUGGGUGACCUUAGAUAAGUGACACUCUCUCAGCCUCAGGAGAAGGCAAUUCCAAACUGCCCGGAACAAAUCUUGCUAAGAAAAAACCCAUAUUAGGUUCACUUUUGGGUCGCCGUAAGUCAGAAACAACUCAAAGGUGCACGACAAGAACAGCAACGAAGUUCAUUGAGGUCUUGUGGUUGAUGAUCAGGUUUUAAGAAAAUCUGCCCAUGUCUUUCUACACAAGAGAGAAAGACCUCGAAACGUUUCAAACCUGAAAUUCAAGAGAAAACCCAAAUGGACAGAUUAGCCUCCCUGGGCUUAAGUGCUCAACUCUUUUAAUAUUUCCAGGGGUGUAACCAUGUUGCAUUAGAAACAACAAAGCGUCUUGUGGUGCCUGAAAGACUACCUAGUUCAAGUUGGCAUAUGCUUUCAUGAAUUCCAGCCCAAUCGCAUGAGAUGAAAUGGGUGGCAAUCCGAGAAAAGGGAUACCUAGUGAAACUAGUUUGUCUGCAAGGUGCAGCGAGAAUGUUGCUUUAGCUCUUUAAAAAUCUGCUUUUGCAUGUUUUUGUGCUCCUUUGUGUUUCUGGCACUGAUAAAGCAGAGCUGCCUCUUCUUUUUUUCCAUACAGGAUCCUCAUCCUUUAAAGAUGCAUCCACACUGGAGGGAUAAUCUGGUUUGACACCGCUUGAACUGCUAUGGCUCAGUGCUAAGUAACAGGACUCUAAGCAGCUGACCACAGAUUUAAAAACAACGCAGACUAAAAUGAGACGAAACCGUUAAUAAAAGGGUCGAUAGACGAGUUAUUUGCAAAAGGAGUAACGUAUGGAGUUAAAACGUCAAAAACAUUAAAACUCAUUAAAAGAU